rfam:Epulopiscium sp. AS2M-Bin001 AS2M_MBin01_160, whole genome shotgun sequence.
AAGAACUAAUAAUCUGAACGAUCGAAUGAGAGGGUAACGCCUUGAAAGGUCGUCCAUAAAUCUCCGAAUGGCGUGAAUAUGGUAAAAUAUUAAACGUCAUAAGCUCGGUAAAGUUGGCUGAGAGCAUACCCAAGUACUAGGAAGUCCUAGAAAACGGAAAAGUGAACCAGAGGUGGUCAAGUAUGUGAUAGGUCGGUGGUCAAAAUU